rnacentral:rRNA from 1 species
GACGAACGCUGGCGGCGUGCCUAAUACAUGCAAGUAGAACGCUGAAGGAGGAGCUUGCUUCUCUGGAUGAGUUGCGAACGGGUGAGUAACGCGUAGGUAACCUGCCUGGUAGCGGGGGAUAACUAUUGGAAACGAUAGCUAAUACCGCAUAAGAGUAGAUGUUGCAUGACAUUUGCUUAAAAGGUGCAAUUGCAUCACUACCAGAUGGACCUGCGUUGUAUUAGCUAGUUGGUGGGGUAACGGCUCACCAAGGCGACGAUACAUAGCCGACCUGAGAGGGUGAUCGGCCACACUGGGACUGAGACACGGCCCAGACUCCUACGGGAGGCAGCAGUAGGGAAUCUUCGGCAAUGGACGGAAGUCUGACCGAGCAACGCCGCGUGAGUGAAGAAGGGUGUGGGAUCGUAAAGCUCUGUUGUAAGAGAAGAACGAGUGUGAGAGUGGAAAGUUCACACUGUGACGGUAUCUUACCAGAAAGGGACGGCUAACUACGUG